rnacentral:rRNA from 1 species
AUUGACCGCUGGCGGCAGGCCUAACACAUACAAGUCGAGCGGCAGCGGAAAGUAGCUUGCUACUUUGCCGCGAGCGGCGGACGGGUGAGUAAUGUCUGGGAAACUGCCUGAUGGAGGGGGAUAACUACUGGAAACGGUAGCCAAUACCGCAUAACGUCGCAAGACAAAGAGGGGGACAUUCGGGCCUCUUGCCAUCAGAUGUGCCCAGAUGGGAUUAGCUAGUAGGUGGGGUAAACGGCUCACCUAGGCGACGAUCCCUAGCUGGUCUGAGAGGAUGACCAGCCACACUGGAACUGAGACACGGUCCAGACUUCUACGGGAGGCAGCAGUGGGGAAUAUUGCACAAUGGGCGCAAGCCUGAUGCAGCCGUGCCGCGUGUAUGAAGAAGGCCUUCGGGUUGUAAAGUACUUUCAGCGGGGAGGAAGGCGCUGAGGUUAAUAACCUCAGCGAUUGACGUUACCCGCAGAAGAAGCACCGGCUAACUCCGUGCCAGCAGCCGCGGUAAUACGGAGGGUGCAAGCGUUAAUCGGAAUUACUGGGCGUAAAGCGCACGCAGGCGGUCUGUCAAGUCGGAUGUGAAAUCCCCGGGCUCAACCUGGGAACUGCAUUCGAAACUGGCAGGCUAGAGUCUUGUAGAGGGGGGUAGAAUUCCAGGUGUAGCGGUGAAAUGCGUAGAGAUCUGGAGGAAUACCGGUGGCGAAGGCGGCCCCCUGGACAAAGACUGACGCUCAGGUGCGAAAGCGUGGGGAGCAAACAGG